AAAAAAAUUAUGCAAAUCUAGAUUUUUUUUUCCAUUUAGCACCCUCUCAAAAAAAAAAAAUUUACAACUAGCCCCAGUAAAUUUAUAUUAGCAUAAAUGACUCUUUUUCUGCCACACGAGCGCCAGAUUGGGCAUAUUAAGUUAAACACGGUGAUUCAGUCAUCAUAUUUAAAUAUGAUAAACGAAUUAACAUAUUCACAUCUUUUAUAUUUUUCGACUUAGGAGCACGGGAAAUUACGAAACACGUUAAAAACACAAAAGAAAAUAAAAUAAUUCAAUUAUCAUAUUUUUAAAUAUGAUGGCUGAAUCACUAUGCUCAACUUAAAAAUGCCUACAUGGACAUUUUCUGUCCUGUAUGAUGAUUCCGUGACCGAGAGAAGAUUGUUUAUGCAAAUAUAAAUUUAUGGGAGUCAUUUAUAAAAUUUUUUUAAGGGUACUAAACAUAAAAAAAGAACACCUACAAAUCCCAGAAAGAUCAAUGCUAUUGCUAUACUUACUCUUGGGAUUAGAUAGGAUUAAAAUCUCAAAGAUAAGAACUGUGUCAUUGAUAUAUUUUCACAAAAUUAUGGAAUUGUGAUCUUCAUUUUCUUCUAUUCUUAUUUUUUUGAGAGAAAGGUAGCAUGCUAUCCGCUUCAUUUAUUUCAUUUCGAAAUAAACUUAGCUAAAAAUGUGAAUCAAUUAGGAUUCGAACCUGGAUAUUGAGUACCAACCACCAAGCCCUUUUGUCACUUGCGCUAAGGACGGUCGGUUACGGUCGGUAUUUUUUUUUCUUCUAUUCUUAUCAAUGUACGAAAAUGGGUAUAACAUUAGUCAUUACAGACCAACCGUUCCUAAAGCAAGUGGCAAAAGGCUUGGUGGUUGAUACCCGAGGUCGUAAGUUUGAAUCCUAAUUGAUUCACAUUUUCAGUUAAGUUUAUUUCUAAAUGAAAUAAACGAAGCGAGUAGCAUGCUAUCUAUCUCUAAAAAAAAAAAAAAAAAAACAUUAGUCAUU
rnacentral:lncRNA from 1 species